AGUGAACGCUGGCGGUAGGCCUAACACAUGCAAGUCGAACGGCAGCACAGUAAGAGCUUGCUCUUACGGGUGGCGAGUGGCGGACGAGUGAGGAAUACAUCGGAAUCUACUUUUUCGUGGGGGAUAACGUAGGGAAACUUACGCUAAUACCGCAUACGACCUACGGGUGAAAGCAGGGGAUCUUCGGACCUUGCGCGAUUGAAUGAGCCGAUGUCGGAUUAGCUAGUUGGCGGGGUAAAGGCCCACCAAGGCGACGAUCCGUAGCUGGUCUGAGAGGAUGAUCAGCCACACUGGAACUGGGCCACGGUCAAGACUCCUACGGGAGGCAGCAGUGGGGAAUAUUGGACAAUGGGCGCAAGCAUGAUACAGCCAUACCGCGUGGGUGAAGAAGGCCUUCGGGUUGUAAAGCCCUUUUGUUGGGAAAGAAAAGCAGCAGGUUAAUACCCCGCUGUUCUGACGGUAACCAAAGAAUAAGCACCGGCUAACUUCGUG
rnacentral:rRNA from 1 species